UGCUGUAACUACAAGCUCGAGGUGUUUUCCGCAGCGUUUCUGUACCCGAGGAAGAUGCGCAUGUGAGUCCGUUACGAAGUUGUUCGUACGGUCGUCGUCGUCGGAGAGAUCGUAGACGAGGAAGAAGACGAUCCCCUUUGGCGAGGCUCGAGAAAAAAACUUUGAGAGAGACGAGGUAUACACGCGCGUACGACUAUGUCGUGCGCGCGUGUGAUUUUUUUUUUAUGGCAAUUCGACGCUUCGAGAAUAGAGAAAAGAGAGUGUUGGUCAUCCCAUGCCUCUUCGUCGUCUAUCGCUGGACCGCGCAUCCUAACGUCGCGCCGGUCGUCCAGUCCCCGAACACACACACCCACCCGACGGUACGUCUCGCUCGCUUUUUCACUUGCGUGAGUUCCCGUACCGGGAACCGCUGGAAUCGUCGAGAGAAGAGAAACGGCUGUAGGAGAAAAAGAGGACGGACGUUAAAAACCGGACGAUCGUUACACGGAUGUCUUGCGUGAGUCUUAGCUCGAACAUGAUACGACGAACGAAGUUUGGCACUUUGGCGAGAUGCAUAAAACGCUCGUACAUACAUACAUACAUAUAUAUUAGAGUGUUCUCCUUCUAUUCGAAUUUUUUUUCUCUUUGAGGCGAUUUUCGCACAGAGAAAUACACACACACCACCUUCUCUCGCACCGAAUCUUUCCGAGCUUUCGUUUUCUACGAGUCUACGCAAAACACGACACGAACGAAUUUUCGUUUCGCGUCGUGACGUUGAAGCGACCUCAGAGUAGGCGAGAUCACCCGCUGAAUUUAAGCAUAUUACUAAGCGGAGGAAAAGAAACUAACAAGGAUUUCCUUAGUAGCGGCGAGCGAACAGGAAUUAGCCCAGCACUGAAUCCCGCGGUUCCGCCGUUGGGAAAUGUAGUGUUCGGGAGGAUCCGAUUGACCCGAGACGUCGAACCGCGUCCAAGUCCAUCUUGAAUGGGGCCAUGUACCCACAGAGGGUGCCAGGCCCGUAGCGACCGGAACGCGUCCCGGGAGGAUCUCUCCUUAGAGUCGGGUUGCUUGAGAGUGCAGCCCUAAGUUGGUGGUAAACUCCAUCUAAGGCUAAAUACAACCACGAGACCGAUAGCGAACAAGUACCGUGAGGGAAAGUUGAAAAGAACUUUGAAGAGAGAGUUCAAGAGUACGUGAAACCGUUCAGGGGUAAACCUGAGAAACCCAAAAGAUCGAAUGGGGAGAUUCAUCGUCGACGGCGCCGGUUCCCGUUGAUGAGCGAUGCUCCGGGUGGGCCUUCGGGAGCUCACUAGCGAGGGCACGCCAUCCUCGGUGUCGAACGCACCGGUGUCGUAGUCGUGCACUUCUCCCCUAGUAGAACGUCGCGACCCGUUGUGUGUCGGUCUACGGCCCGAGCGGGCGCCUGUCGCGUCGCUUCGGUGCACGCGUCAGACCCUCGGUCGCCCGGCCGACCGCACGACGGUACACUCACGGUAUCGGGCCGCAACCAAUCCAUUCUCGAAUGUGUGUGCGUCUAGACCGCCGCAAGCUUCGCCCUUACUCCGUAGUCUCGGACUUACGUUCCGUGCUCGGGUAUGCGGCAGCUGUUAGCAGUGCGGAUUUCUUGGACUGGCCGAGUCUCGAAUUACCGGUCGGCGACGCUAUUGCUUUGGGUACUCUCAGGACCCGUCUUGAAACACGGACCAAGGAGUCUAACAUGUGCGCGAGUCAUUGGGACAUUUGAAACCUAAAGGCGAAAUGAAAGUGAAAAUCGGCGUUCGCGUCGAUGGAGGGAGGAUGGGCCGCGCAACUAUGCGGCCUCGCACUCCCGGGGCGUCUCGUUCUCAUUGCGAGGAGAGGCGCACCUAGAGCGUACACGUUGGGACCCGAAAGAUGGUGAACUAUGCCUGGUCAGGACGAAGUCAGGGGAAACCCUGAUGGAGGUCCGUAGCGAUUCUGACGUGCAAAUCGAUCGUCGGAACUGGGUAUAGGGGCGAAAGACUAAUCGAACCAUCUAGUAGCUGGUUCCCUCCGAAGUUUCCCUCAGGAUAGCUGGCACUCGACCGUUCUCAUCGAACGCGUGCGAGUCUCAUCUGGUAAAGCGAAUGAUUAGAGGCCUUGGGGCCGAAACGACCUCAACCUAUUCUCAAACUUUAAAUGGGUGAGAUCUCUGGCUUGCUUGGAUCAUGAAGCCACGAGAUAUUGGAUCAGAGUGCCAAGUGGGCCAAUUUUGGUAAGCAGAACUGGCGCUGUGGGAUGAACCAAACGUGGAGUUAAGGCGCCUAAGUCGACGCUUAUGGGAUACCAUGAAAGGCGUUGGUUGCUUAAGACAGCAGGACGGUGGCCAUGGAAGUCGGAAUCCGCUAAGGAGUGUGUAACAACUCACCUGCCGAAGCAACUAGCCCUGAAAAUGGAUGGCGCUGAAGCGUCGCGCCUAUACUCCGCCGUCAGUGGCAAGUGGGAAGGCACGCGAGUCUCGCGAUCUCCUCGCGGGAUCCGGGACCGUCCUUCAUGAAGCUCUGACGAGUAGGAGGGUCGCGGCGGUGUGCGCAGAAGGGUCUGGGCGCGAGCCUGCCUGGAGCCGCCGUCGGUGCAGAUCUUGGUGGUAGUAGCAAAUACUCCAGCGAGGCCCUGGAGGACUGACGUGGAGAAGGGUUUCGUGUGAACAGCCGUUGCACACGAGUCAGUCGAUCCUAAGCCCUAAGAGAAAUCCUAUGCAGAUGAGGUGUCCUAAGAUCAUACACAAAAAUCGCAACAACAAACAAAUAUAUAUAUGAGCGAAAGAUACACACCCAUUGGGCGAAAGGGAAUCCGGUUCCUAUUCCGGAACCCGGCAGCGGAACCGCAUACCAUUCGGGCCCUCGUAAGAGUGUUCGUCGGGGUAACCCAAAAUGACCUGGAGACGCCGUCGGGAGAUCCGGGAAGAGUUUUCUUUUCUGUAUAAGCGUUCGAGUUCCCUGGAAACCUCUAGCAGGGAGAUAGGGUUUGGAACGCGAAGAGCACCGCAGUUGCGGCGGUGUCCGGAUCUUCCCCUCGGACCUUGAAAAUCCAGGAGAGGGCCACGUGGAGGUGUCGCGCCGGUUCGUACCCAUAUCCGCAGCAGGUCUCCAAGGUAAAGAGCCUCUAGUCGAUAGAUUAAUGUAGGUAAGGGAAGUCGGCAAAUUGGAUCCGUAACUUCGGAAUAAGGAUUGGCUCUGAGGAGCGGGGCGUGUCGGGCUUGGUCGGGAAGCGGGUUUGGCUGACGUGCCGGGCCUGGGCGAGCUGAACGGGACGCGGCGUAUCUAUCUCUCUCGGGAGUGGAUAUCGU